GCCGGUAUGAGGGGAGUUGAAGCGGAGACUGAGGACGCAGCAAUACGUGGGCUAGAUUGUGAAAUUUAGGACGCAAGACUAAUGGUGUCGUUUUCAAGUUGAGUAAUUAUAUUGUUAAUGAUUUCUGUAACACUGUUGAGUUGUCUUGAGUAGGUUAGGAUUAGAUAUUUUAGCUGAGUCGCGCUUUAGCUCUUUGAUGUCAGGAGUGAUUUGAGGUUAAGGUGUGGCUUUCAGCUAAAGGACGAAUUACUUAAAUUGUAGCAGAUCUUAUAAUUAAUUCUUCGACAUUUAGCCUUUAUUUACAGUUAGAGUGAGACAUUAAAGUGGGCGAGAGAGACUGGAAAUGGGAUUGGGACAUGACCCAGGUCAGAAUCGAACUUGAGUUCCCAAUGAGCUUUUAAAUGUCGUAUGUGCGCUGCCUUGUGCGCCAGAACUGAAUCAUGAGGGUUUUAAUGGUUUUCGCGAGGAUUUGAUACGCGUGUCACCGGGGAGAUAUUUAAAUCCAGGAAGCGUUCGGUUACACAACGGAGGCCAAUCGUUCGAUGACCGUUGCAACAUUCGUUCUAACUUUUCGGAAGUGUGUGAACCCACUUUAGAACAAAUGGAAUCUGUUACGUUCCAUUGAAAGAGAUCGCGAGAGCGCUCGGUUCAGAGUUGAGCCUCACAGGGCGUCAGCCGUACGUUAGUAGACAGUCUAUAGGCAGAAUGAGGAAAAAAAAAAAAUAACCCAUUGCGAAAAUAAAGGAUGUUACGCCAGAUUUAUGUGAUGUCUGGGAUUCGAACCGCUUUCCAGCGUGACAUACGAAUCAAUCGACGAGAGAAAUCGAGAAUUCUACCAGUGAAGUAAGUUACGUUAGGUGUUGGACGUUCCUCAUUCAGAAGUUUUCGCUUAAAGGUGUUUGUCGAAAAACUCAGUAUUGCACAGAUAUCGAUUUGACGCUAUUUGUUAAAUUCGUCAGACUGAAGCGCUGAGAAUUAACACUACUGUAGCCUAUUAACACGGACAACUGAUAUAACAGUGGGCGUUACACUCGUUACAUUAAACUCAUAUCGCCUGACGUAUUUCCUUCGUGAUUUUUCUUUAGGCUACUUUGCUUGUUUUUAUUUGUAUUAUAUUUAUGCUAAUUUUCAGCGUUAUUAAAAGAGGGCAAGGAUAAUUAAAGGGAUAAUUAACCUCAAAUUAAUAUUUAGUCAUCAUUUACUCACCUUCAUGAUGUUUUAAACCUUUCAUUGAAUAUAGAAAGAAUGCGAAGUGAAUGGUGACUGACCCUCAUAUUCAGCCUCACAUUUUCUCUAUUUAUUUAUUUUUUUAUACAGAGGAUAGAAAGUCAAACAGGUUUGUAAAAAUAUGGGUGUUAUUAAAGGACAGAUUUUUCACUUUUUGAGUGAACUGUCACUUUAAGAUAAACCCUAAAACACGGAGUUUUUAGUCUACGUCUGUUUAAAAGAUGAAUAGCAGGGGCAACAGGACAUUCUGCUGUAGCCUGCGAAAGAAGGCGAAGAUCAAAAUAUUAGUUUUGGUAGCUGGAUAGUAGUGUAUAAAACAUGGUUUUGGCCAUGACACAACGCUUAUACAUCGUCUCUGAUUCCUGUGAGGCGAGAGCAUGGCAAAUUCCUCAAGACCCCACCCUGUACGGUGCGAUACUGUAUAUACGAGUUUUGUCCUCUUUUCUCCCCCCUUUAGGUGACUUGUUUACUUCUUGUCUGUGUGUCUGCUUUAUCUCACUUUUCCCUUUUCACACACAGCCUAACAUCUGGAGUGGAGACCUCCGUUUCAACAGUACGUCGUUAUGGAUUUCUUCUUACAUCUGAAUGACGUCCGACUGCUGAAGAUGAAGCUCGGCUGUGACAGUGAUUUGCCUGUUUGGCAGGUGGCUGUAGUUGUCUUGAGUGUGGGAGGGGAGGAUCUCAGAAGAAGGUCUGCUGUUGUCUCAAGGACAGCGGAGCUUCCCGUCUGUGCAGCCCCACAGUCCUGUGGGACCAAAUGCUGGACGCACAGGCGGGUUUGUGCUACAAGGUUUCAGGAAGUGAGCCUGCAGAGCUUCUGUCCACAUUUACAUCUCCAGUAACGUUACGCAGUUAGAUUCCUAGCAAUACCUUUUCGCUGCCGUAGCGAGGCGAUGAUUCGGCACUGUCAGAGACAGACUUCUAGAGUGAGUUUGCUUCUGCUGUCUACCCUGAGGGACCUGCAUAAUCUCCCUUUGAUUAAAUGGGCUGCAGGCUUUGUGCUCCUCACCGCCAUGCAGCCAAGCUAGUUCACCUCAGCAGUACAGAGUGUGAGCUGGCCCAGCUCUGUGGAAGGGUGGAGUCAGUCCAGCACGGCGUAUCUCAGAAAGCAUGGAGGGCCUCUGCAGACAGAAUGGAAUUUAUACCAUAUGUACCAGGCAUCCCAAGAAUGCAUGGCACAGAGACUUGACCAACGGAAAGAACCGCAGAAAGUGCAAUGGAAAGGAUCCUGCCACGCCCUAUUCCCACGUUUUCUUCGGAAUAUCAGGGACAGACUCUGGGAAGCCCACUGGCUGACCUGCAGCAGUUCUUCACUGGCAAGCUUUAUGUCCUUGUGUACCAGCUAAAGCUGCCAGCUGAAGAACUGUUGUGGUUGGCUCUUUCCUGGCACGUCAGCACAGAGAUGGUGAUGCAGAAGUAACAGCAUCAUUCCAGACAGUCGAUGAGGCCGUCUCAGCCAAUCCUGGAUCAGACGGAUCCCAUUUUUUUCUCUCCCUCCAGCAGCCAGCUCACGUGACCUGCCUGAGCUUGGCUGUUCGUUAUUCUCAGGCAUAAACAAAGGCUACCAUACGGGGUCCAUGCUGACUCAGCCACAUUCCUGGCCCGGUGAGGGUCCCUUGCCCUUAUUUGGGUGUGGAGCAGGACAGGAGUGGCAUUCUGUGCUCUCAACCAAGCUGACAGAGGUGGCCAUCUUGCUCUUCUGAUGUAGCAAAUGGUGGAUCUGAUGUUUAGUGGGCGGAAACAUCAAGUACUACUGAAAGUAGUGUUCUUAUAGAUGUUUCCAUGCAUUCUGGAGACAUGCCCAGGCAUUGACGUGUUUGUGUGUUGAAAGUUGCAGAGAUCCUCCAGGGAACAAAUGAUGAAAGACUGCAGAGCGUAUGUAACUUCCUCUUUCCCUUUCAAGGCCAUUCUAUGGCGUAAAUAUGAUUUUUUUUUAUUUUUUUUUGUGUGUGUUUGUUUGUUUAUGUGCUUGUGUAUGUACGCAUCUAACCUUUGUCACACACACAGAUCUGCCUAUAUACACAUCCUCAUCACGUCAACUGACCUUACACAAGCCGUAAAUUCCUCAAGGCCGACUUCUUCAGCACAGAAAACAGGAUAUGAAAAUGCAUCCCUCUAAAUCCUCCCAGCCAGAUGAAAACUGAGAAUAUUCUAGGUAUUUAGCAGACCCAGAUGCCGCGUGCUGGAAAUGUGCUCUCGGUUCCUCUCCCUCCAAACGUCUUCAAGAUCAUGCCACUCUCUCACCAAGUUCUCAUACGUCACACAGUUUUGCACAUGUAACUGUACCUUCUCUCAAGGGCUUCUUCAGGUCAUGGGCGACGAUCGCCUUCGUGAUCCGCUCUAGUCUAAUGUCAAUCUGUCCACAAGUGCAUUAAAAGAUUGUUGAGGGUCGUCGUCUCAGCUGCUCUUAAAGAAACGGCACACAUAAGAAGCUCGGCCUGUCUGUGUUGCAGGUGUACUUAGGCCGUGGAUAGUACAGUGUGCUACUGUCAGAACCUCCUGCUUUAACCCUCUUUAAAGUCAGACGGUAAGGGUUAACAGCUACAUUUAGAUUAGAUUACUAUGAAGGUCCUAAUGAACAUACUUUCAGUAUGGACAAAGUGUGACUGAAUGAUGUGAUUCUCAAAUAAAGAAGUAAAAUGGCUUUGGGGAAGACUUGCCUUGUUUAUUUUUACUUAAACGUGUGACAUAUUUUGUUGUGGUUCUAAAUUCUUUAUGAAUGUGAACAUGAUUUCUACUUCCUAGUUUUUCAUGAGUUGUAUUUUUGAAAGCUUUACAAGGUUGAGAUUCAAUUUAAUGUAGUAGGUAAUGGUUAAUCUUCUUAUGUUGGAGCCGUUUUACAGCUAGGCCUUUCAAGGCUCUUUCCCACCAUUUAAUACAGUGGUACUAAUUGAUUUCACUUCUAACUGUGAAACAAAACACUUAAAUCUAAAUAUUAUUAUUCAGGGAAAUAUUUUUCAUUGAAUCGUGCCUGUCAAAGCAUUCUUUAAAGGGACAAGCCAAAUGGCAACAUCUGUUGCACGCUACGAUCCCCCAUAAACUAACUUCUGACUAGAUAUGUCAAUGCUGUUUGUUUUUGUUUGGUUGUUUCCUCAAGAUACAAAUUAAAAAAAAUUUACAGACAUC
ensembl:lncRNA